UUUCGCAUGGCCUGCCUCAGCGUGACCGCCACCAUCUCUUGUCUUUGAGGGAGUGGAUGAGGACGAAGGUGAAGCUCUCCUGGGGUCAUUCAUUUAUGACGUGGACGGAGAGAUCGCCCAGACCUUCCAAGUGCAGGAGGAGCCCCGCAAAGCCUUCCGCCAGAUCAAACUGGAGGUGCGGAGCAACUGGGGAAACAAGGAAUACACCUGCCUGUACAGAGCCGAUGUUCACGGCAACCCAGAAAAGGCAUAAUAGAUACGUAGAACGGAAUAAUUAAAUAAAAAGAUGUUGCCACCUUUC